rnacentral:rRNA from 1 species
GCAAGUCGAACGAGAAAGUCCUUCGGGAUGAGUACAGUGGCGAACGGGUGAGUAACGCGUGAGAAUCUGCCAUUCAGUGAAGAAUACCCUCGAGAAAUCGAGGUUAAUACUGCAUACGUCCCUUCGGGGAGAAAGGUGGCCUCUUGCUACCGCUGAUUGAUGAGCUUGCGUACUAUUAGCUUGUUGGUGAGGUAAAGGCUCACCAAGGCUUUGAUGGUUAACCGGCCUGAGAGGGUGACCGGUCACAUUGGGACUGAGAUACGGCCCAGACUCC